CAUAUCUUUAUUGUAUGCUAUAUAUGUUGGUUAAUAUUGAAUAAAGCAAAUAAGUGUAUAUGUACUUUAUUUUUGUAACCCAUCAACUUAUUUAUAAGAGGAAAGUAUUAAAGAGAAUGUUAGUACAGUAGUAUUGUGUGUUGGUGAGUGUGAAGUGGCAGCGUGGGUGGUGACGCGUGGCACAGCGAUCAGCUGAUCUUUGUUAUGGUAAGAUGCGUGAGUGUAGGGUGGUGAUUGUGGACAUAAUUUCACUUCUGUUCAAGUAUCCGGCAUGCUUCAAGUAUCCGGCAUGUUGGGGGUCCUGUUGAUGCCGGAUAAGAGGGAUUUUACUGUACAUCAUUAUUAAUAGAGCCUUAAUGGAAUUCCUGUGGGCCAUAGAACACGACGGGAUGUGCAGAGAAAGAGUCUUCAGAGAUUGGCUUGAUCUAAUGGAUGUCUACCUCACCAUGAAAUCCUGCACCUUUUGACUCCUUGAAUUCCUGUGGGCCAUAGAACACAACAGGGUGUGCAGGGAAAGAAUCUUCAGAGAUUGGUUUGAUCCACUGAAUAUCUACCUCACCAUGAAAUCCUGCAUCUUUUGACUCCUUGGUG